rnacentral:lncRNA from 1 species
GCUAAGUGGAAUUUACUUGAGAGGUGGUUCUUCCACAGCAAACGUUCUUGUAACUGCUUUUAGGACAUUUUUUUUGGGGGGGGGUCUUCUCAUUAACCCCUCCUUAAACGCAUGAACGGAGCGUUCAAAUAGCGAGGAGAUUUAGAUUUCCCUCUGUAUUCAUUUAGAUGAUGAAUUGUAAUGGCUCGAUAGUUCCUCUGGAACCAUUAUAGUCAAUCAGGUCAAAAUCCAGCUCGGAAGAGGUGGGGUUAAACUCCGGAGGUAGGUAACAGCAACCUUACCGCCUCUAAAAAUGUUCAAGCCAGCUAAGGUUCUGAGACUAGAAACCAAUGGAUGCUACAGCGGAUGUUUAUUGUUGUGACAGUGACAGACAAGUAACAAACUGAAAGGGAAAGUGAACACCAUUUCCCCAGGCAUUUCCCGCGUCCCAAGUUCCUUGUGGUUGUCCUAGCAUCUUCUCACUGGCAAUAGACAGAACAAGACACACACGUGGGAAGUGAGUGCAGCAGAAUAGACCUGGUGUUGUUGCAGUGGAGUUGGGUGAGGUCGUGAUGGAACCCUGGAUUAAAAUCACCAACCACACCUGCGGCCCUGGUGCAGGACCUGCAACGGACGCUUGAGGAAGGAGCACUCCAGCCUCAAAACCAGUGGGAAGUGUUAUCCAAACCACCUUGUUUGGAAGAGAAUGACAUUGCUGCCUGAGCUGCCCAAAGUAAGAUGCAAGGCCAGGAGACACCCUGAUAAAGGACAUUCAUUCUUUUUCCUUCCUGGCAUUUCUAACCCAGGAGGAUUCAUCUCUCCUGCAAACAACUUUCUCCAUAAAUGA